rnacentral:rRNA from 1 species
UUAGGAAUAUUGGGGCAAUGGAGGAAACUCUGACCCAGCAACGCCGCGUGAAGGAUGAAGGUUUUCGGAUUGUAAACUUCUGAUCUGUGGAAAGAAAAAAUGACGGUACCACAGGAGCAAGCCCCGGCAAACUUCGUGCCAGCAGCCGCGGUAAUACGAGGGGUGCAAGCGUUGUUCGGAAUCACUGGGCGUAAAGGGAGCGCAGGCGGAAGCUCAAGCGGAUUGUACGAUACCGGGGCCCAACCCCGGACCUGCAGUCCGAACUGGGUUUCUUGGAUAGUUCAGGGGCAAGCGGAAUUCCUGGUGUAGCGGUGGAAUGCGUAGAGAUCAGGAAGAACACCGAUGGCGAAGGCAGCUUGCUGGGGGACUUAUCGACGCCCAUGCUCGAAAGUGCGGGUAGCAAACAGGAUUAGAUACCCUGGUAGU